AUGAAGCUGGUAUUGUGCCUAUUUGAGCAAUUGUCCGGUCUGAAGAUCAACUUCAAUAAAAGUGAGUUGUUCUGUUUUGGUAGAGCCAAAGAGGAACAAGAUGCUUACAAGCAACUGUUUGGUUGCGAUUUGGGGACUCUUCCGUUCACUUACCUUGGUAUCCCCAUUCACCAUUGUAAGUUAACUAACAAUGAAUGGAAGUGUAUCGAGGAUCGGUUUGAGAAGAAACUGAGCUGCUGGAAGGGCAAACUUAUGUCGUAUGGAGGCCGAUUGAUUCUUAUUAAUUCGGUGCUCACGAGUUUGCCUAUGUUUCUCUUAUCCUUUUUUGAGGUUCCAGUUGGAGUUAGGAAAAGACUGGACUUCUAUCGGUCUCGUUUCUUCUGGCAGAGCGAUGAAACUAAGAGAAAGUAUCGCCUAGCCAAAUGGGAUGUCAUCUGCUGA
rnacentral:rRNA from 1 species